rnacentral:rRNA from 1 species
AGAGCGAACGCUGGCGGCAUGCUUAACACAUGCAAGUCUCACGGGCAGCAAUGUCAGUGGCGGACGGGUGAGUAACGCGUAGGUAUCUAUCCAUGGGUGGGGGAUAACGUCGGGAAACUGACGCUAAUACCGCAUGACAUCUGAGGAUCAAAGGCGCGAGUCGCCUGUGGAGGAGCCUGCGUACGAUUAGCUAGUUGGUGGGUAAAGGCCUACCAAGGCUACGAUCGUUAGCUGGUCUGAGAGGAUGAUCAGCCACACUGGGACUGAGACACGGCCCAGACUCCUACGGGAGGCAGCAGUGGGGAAUAUUGGACAAUGGGCGAAAGCCUGAUCCAGCAAUGCCGCGUGUGUGAAGAAGGUCUUCGGAUUGUAAAGCACUUUCGGCGGGGACGAUGAUGACGGUACCCGCAGAAGAAGCCCCGGCUAACUUCGCGCCAGCAGCCGCGGUAA